GAUGAACGCUGGCGGCGUGCCUAACACAUGCAAGUCGAGCGAUUUACUUCGGUAAAGAGCGGCGGACGGGUGAGUAACGCGUGGGUAACCUGCCUCAUACACAUGGAUAACAUACCGAAAGGUAUGCUAAUACAAGAUGAUAUAAGAGAUUCGCAUGGAUUUCUUAUCAAAGCUCCGGCGGUAUGAGAUGGACCCGCGUCUGAUUAGCUAGUUGGUAAGGUGACGGCUUACCAAGGCGACGAUCAGUAGUCGACCUGAGAGGGUGAUCGGCCACAUUGGAACUGAGACACGGUCCAAACUCCUACGGGAGGCAGCAGUGGGGAAUAUUGCACAAUGGGCGAAAGCCUGAUGCAGCAACGCCGCGUGAGCGAUGAAGGCCUUCGGGUCGUAAAGCUCUGUCCUCAAGGAAGAUAAUGACGGUACUUGAGGAGGAAGCCCCGGCUAACUACGUGCCAGCCGCCGCAGUAA
rnacentral:rRNA from 1 species